rnacentral:misc_RNA from 1 species
CAGAGUUCAUGCCCUCACGGGUAGAUCUCCCACCCUUGAAAUCUAUACCUUUGUUGCUUUGGCAGGCCGCCUUCGGGCGUCGGCUUCGGCUGAUUAGCGCUUGCCAGAGGCCCAAAACUCAUGUUUAAAUUAUUGUCUGAGUACUAUAUAAUAGUUA